AGUGAACGCUGGCGGUAGGCCUAACACAUGCAAGUCGAACGGCAGCACAGUAAGAGCUUGCUCUUACGGGUGGCGAGUGGCGGACGGGUGAGGAAUACAUCGGAAUCUACUUUUUCGUGGGGGAUAACGUAGGGAAACUUACGCUAAUACCGCAUACGACCUACGGGUGAAAGCAGGGGAUCUUCGGACCUUGCGCGAUUGAAUGAGCCGAUGUCGGAUUAGCUAGUUGGCAGGGUAAAGGCCCACCAAGGCGACGAUCCGUAGCUGGUCUGAGAGGAUGAUCAGCCACACUGGAACUGAGACACGGUCCAGACUCCUACGGGAGGCAGCAGUGGGGAAUAUUGGACAAUGGGCGCAAGCCUGAUCCAGCCAUACCGCGUGGGUGAAGAAGGCCUUCGGGUUGUAAAGCCCUUUUGUUGGGAAAGAAAGGCAGCAGGUUAAUACCCCGCUGUUCCGACGGUACCCAAAGAAUAAGCACCGGCUAACUUCGUG
rnacentral:rRNA from 1 species